CCAGUUGGCCGGACAGCCGCUGCCGCAAGUGCCGAAAGGCCGCGGGGGAGGAAAGUCCGGGCUCCAAGGAAACACGGUGCCGGGUAACGCCCGGCGGGGGCGACCCUAGGGAAAGUGCCACAGAAAGCAAACCGCCCCGGACCUGUCCGGGGUAAGGGUGAAAGGGUGGGGUAAGAGCCCACCGCGCGGACGGUAACGGACGCGGCACGGUAAACCCCACCGGGAGCAAAACCGAAUAGGGGUGGCGCGGGCGCUUGACGCCCAGGCCGGUUUCCAGGCCAGUCACCCGGGUUGGUUGCGAGAGGCGUCCGGCAACGGCCGUCCCAGAUGAAUGGCUGUCGCGUGCGGAUCUUCGGGUCCGUGCCAUACAGAACCCGGCUUACAGGCCAACUGGCAUU
rfam:Labrenzia suaedae strain DSM 22153 genome assembly, contig: Ga0131142_102